rnacentral:lncRNA from 1 species
GUAAAUAAAUGCUCAAAUAUGGUAGUGCUGCUACAAUAUUUAGGUGGUUACCAUGGCAACCUAAUGCGUAGAUACAGAUUUUCCUAAGUUUGCUUCAGGUUUUUGCGCAAUUUAAAAGUUUUUAUUUUUUCAGGUGAACAUUUCACAGUGACUUGAGUCCCUGUGCUGUUAGGACGCUCUCAUCCCCGCAGGUCACAUGGUCUCACAUAGGGGGCGCUAACGCUGUGCUGCUGCUCUGCAGGUGCUGCUUCUUCCAUCAUUGCUGCCUGAAGCAGAUCAGCUCCAUGGGCUGCAGAGUGGAGAGGAGCCUGAGCGCUCACGUGACCUGUGAGGAGCACAAACCCCGCUGUCAGGGUGCCACCCUGUGUGACAAGCUGCAGUGUGUGUGCGACAAAACCACAGCUGAGUGCAUGGCGGCGGCUCACUUCCACCACAGGGCGACCCCGCAGCAGUGCCGGGGGCCCAGCCCCCCCUGCCGUCGGCCCAGCAGACCCCCCAAAGCUGUGCAGGAAACCCCAGAGUCCAGCGAGGAGCAGCAGAGUGCCAAGCUGGAUGAACCCACAAGUCCACCUGUGCAGCCCCACAGUGAUGAGAGCUCAGAGGAAGUUGAAUUGCGGGAUGAGGAAACUCCUCCUCUUUCCAGCGAGGAAAGCGGGGAACUGCCGGGUCCAGACGGGAUUCAGACCCACAACCAAAGACCAGCAGAGGAGGAGGAGGAGGAAGAAGAGGAGGAGGAAGGAGAAGAGGAGGAGGAAGAAUACUAG